rnacentral:lncRNA from 1 species
GAACCCCGGUAGGGUUCCGGAACGAGAAGGACCUUGGUACGUGCAGGGGUCCGGUGCUGACAUGUGUGCGGGCCUUGCUCUCCACUUUCCGCACAGGCGGAGACCUGCUGCUUGUGGCCCAUGACAUAAGCUGUCGGGCCAAACCUGACGAAAAGUCGUGCAGCCCCUGCAUUUAUUGAGGAAAAGACGCGCCGCCUGCCACUGCGCUGACGGGCGACGUGCCCCCUCAGCAUUUAAUGCGUCCCGUCCCAUCCGCUGGCAGGCGACGUCAAGGUCAUCCAGCAGACAGCGCGCCUGCUGGGUCUGCUGGUGAACAGUAUGCCUGUGCUGAGCGGCGUGCUAUACUCAUCUUCUCUUCCGCAAGAAGCCUCCUCGGUACGCCAGGGAUACGCAGAUCUCGGGCAGAGAAGAUUGUCUCGACAACAGAUAUUAGAGGAUCCAAGCACUAUAUUCUUUAUGUCCCUGGGCCCACAUGUCGGGGCCCAGUCCCUUUGUGCAUGCCCCCCUUCAGCUAUAAAAGGGGAGGCAUGCGAUGUUACACACACACACGCAAUCUCAGACUCGCUAGCUCAUACAAGCUCUCAAGCAAUACAUCUCACAGUGGAGUAGGGUAUUACGCUCCGGCGGCCCGAACCACUCUAAACCCUUGUGUGUCCUUGUGUAUUGCCCCUUCUCUCCAACAAUCAAGCGAAACGCCUAAGCCCCUCCUCAUCUCAGGACUUAGGGCGGGUGCACUCCGCCACCCGGCCGGAGAUCUACUCUCCGACAGGUCCCAUUAGCUUAACCUAACAGUGCCACUGUGAUUAAGAGAAUAAUGAACAUUAUUAGGUCAAAGAAUGUGAUCAAGUACACAACUUGCCUUUUACUUGCAAUAACCAGUUGUCCAGAUGCUUCCCCAAAAGUUGGGCUUAAGAUUCUUCGUGACCUCGCUUCUAUUCGUAGCAAUACAUGCAAAUAGGCAAAUAAUGGAUACAAUAACAUGACCCCAAAACAUGAAAACAAACUGCGCGAUAAUAUUCUAUGUGUCGUUAUGAAACCGUAGGUUCGAAAACUACUAAAAUCACAGUUAAAAUGAAUUAGUUAUGAAUUUUCUAAGUUCUUUAUACAUUUUAUAUUUAUUUUUAUACUAAAAAUGAUUAUCAUAGGUUUUCCCCAUAAACUCCUAAUCUAUUUAAUCAUUUUAAUAGGGGAAUGGACGACGGGUAUGAAAAUCAAGAAGUACAGGGUCUAACUCGAAAGAAACAUAACUCUUUUGUAACAUUUUUACUAUAUGGGUGUGUUGCUGGUUGUUUUCCUAGAAAUCCAAGGUCUCUUACGCAAAUCUUAUACGGCGAAGGUGUAUCUUCCCAUGUGGAAUGCUGGACCUUCAGUCUACGGAUUAGAUUAGAUUAUAAUCACAUUGAAUCGGUAUGCAAUCUUGAUCAUCGGACCUCCGAUCAACGACCGAGGACCCGCAUUAUCUCCACACCGUUUGAUCACAAAUCUUCGUUUCUUGAUUAACUCAUGAAGGGAUACACGUAGGUUUUAAUCACGACCGCAUAUCCACCGAUCAACGACCAACCUCCCUCCUCCUACGCCCCCAUUGCCUCAGAAAGUUGCACGUUCAUUACCACGACAGAGGGCUCGUUGGUGGCACACGAUCUCACGAUUACUUGAUCCGAAUCAAACACCAAUACGCUCUAAACUACAAGAAGUGCAAGGAGAAGUUAUAAGAGCAGACCUUUCUGGCGGGUGAUGUCGAGACCGAGCCGACCAUGAUGAUCUGUGGCUUGGUAGCGAGCUGAAGGGGCGGAUCUAGCCCAAAAUCCGAGUGGGGCCCAACUAUUGAGGGGGGCCUAAAUGGAAGCUUACUAGCAAAUAGUAUUUCAUAACUAUAAUAAUUAAGAUAGAAAGUUAACUGUAAUCAGAAAUUUGAGUGGGGGCCUGUGCCCCCACUCACCAUAACGUCGGUCCGCCACUGGCGAGCUCCUCGCUCCGACGAGCAAUUCACCGAGCUCCUGUGAUAUUUUCGCCCAUAAAGGCCACGGUCAUGUGAGGGGAUCUCUGGUGGAGCCCUAGGAUCACCAUCCGAGGUUGCGGCAUGGCCGAGGAUCACGGUUGAUGGCGGCGACUAUCUCUCCUCUCUCUCUCUUUGCCUCUUGCGGCGGCGACUCCCUAUAUUAUGCGUGGUGCUGGAGGUUCUCAAUUGCGUUUGAGGUACGGG